CUAAUAGAGAGCUCUAAAGGUAGGAUGACCUUUCAGUGUUGGACCAGGAUGUCUCCCAGUGAUCAGUCAUUGUGUAUGCAGCUCUAAGAAAGGAAGGGGACUUAAGGCCACUGUUUGGGAGUUAGGAGAUCCCUGUCCGGUCAUCUGUCCAACUGGAAUCCCCAAAUCCAGGUUAGCAGGAUACCUAUGGGAUCCAAUCCAUUGUUUGAGAGGCCAUGACAUCAAGAAUCUCUGGGGUUUAUCCUUUGGUGGAGCCAUCCUUAACUCCCAGCACCAAAGCUAUGGAAUAUUUUUUUCUCCCAGGCAUAGAGCUAUUCAACAGUUUG